AUUGAACGCUGGCGGCAGGCCUAACACAUGCAAGUCGAACGAGUGGCGGACGGGUGAGUAAUGUCUGGGAAACUGCCUGAUGGAGGGGGAUAACUACUGGAAACGGUAGCUAAUACCGCAUACCAUCGGAUGUGCCCAGAUGGGAUUAGCUAGUAGGUGGGGUAAAGGUUCACCUAGGCGACGAUCCCUAGCUGGUCUGAGAGGAUGACAAGCCACACUGUACCUGUGAGACGGUGCAAAUGCCUACGGGAGUCAGCAGUGGGGAAUAUUGCACAAUGGGCGCAGGCUUGAUGCAGCCAUGCGGCGUGUAUGAAUAAGGCCUUCGGGUUGUAGAGUACUGACAGCGGGUAGGCGUUACCCGCAGAAGAAGCACCGGGUAACUCCGUGCCAGCAGCCGCGGUAAUAC
rnacentral:rRNA from 1 species